AACGGAUAUGCGCGUGCGCCGCACACGGGAUUCCGCGCUCUGGCGAUAGGCUGGCCGCGGCGGUUAGUGGGCCACGCGCCUCUGGCCCCGCCCCCCAGCUCCUGGCGUUGGGACGCCGGGAGCUGGGGGGCGGGGGAGGAGGUGACUGAAGAGGCCGCAGUCGUCGCGGUGAGGCCCAGGGUGGGCCGUCGGUGAGCUCCUGCCCGCUACCGCCCUAGGCCUCGCUGCGCCCCUCCUGCGCCGACAGCCCCGGCCCUGUGAUCCGAGCUCUCGGAGGAGGCAGUUGUCACAUUUCACCCUGAAGUGUAAACGCCACUGACCUAGGAUGAAAGCCAGCCACUGGGAUAAUAUUUCAAGACUUGAAGUUCAACCUUCAAAGACAGGAUGUUUCUCCUACUUCUUUCAACAUCACUGAUGCUGAGUACCCAGCAUAACUGAAACUCGCAGAGAAAAGGUGCUCCAGAAUGUGUCAACACCUAAUUGCUCAGAGACUAAUGGAAAUAAGACUCUACAUUGGCCCUCUUUGCUUCUAAAGGUAAGGACCCAGCAAGGUGGCAGCCAUCUGUGAACCAGGAAGAGGGCCCUCAGCAGGAACUAUCUGCUGGCAUCUUGAUCGUGCAUUUCCUAGUCUCCAGAAAUACGAGGAAUAAAUUUCUGCUGUUUUAGCCACCCGGUCUGCCUCACAGAUCUUUGCACAAAAAAACUCAAGUUUCCAGGCAUUAGCUACAUAUAAGUUAACUUGCAAAAUUAUUGAAGAGAUAUCCUUUUCAUGAAGAAAAAAAAUGGGCCCAACAUAUGCUGGUUGCCAAAAUAGUCCUCGGUUCUCUCAGGAAGCUGGAAUCUCAGUGUGUCGGAAGAUGGGCCUAUGUCUACAGCGCAGGAGGAGAGGAGUGUGGGCAUCUCCCCCUGCCUGUCGGAGCCCAGGAACUUUCCAAUGGAGAAAUCCGCUUAAUAGGAUUCCUGGAGCCCUGGAUCUUCCUGAAUUAGCUGUUAUACCAAAUAAGUAAACUGAUUUCCAUACCUAAUUAACCAUACGGGAUAAGUCAAUACGCGAUGUCAGUAUUAUUUCACUAAUUAAAGGGUGCAGGGCACCCAAGACAAACACCAGAAAGAAA